UAGUUACUUAAUGACAUCACAUUCCAGGAAGUGACAUCACUUUGGAGGGAAAACAACAGCACCAAGUGUAAGCUGCCUGGCUCAGGGCUCGCCCCCAGCUGGACGCUCUAGACUGGUCCUCGGGGACACGGAAGGACUCUCUGUUCGAAUCCGUAUCGAUCCGUGAUGCUGAUGAAAGAACCCACUGGUCACCUUGAGCCCUGUGUAUCCCGCGGCAACACUGCAGCCCCCCCGUGUCAUUUUAGUCAGACCAUGAGGCUCCAGGGCACAAGAGAAAACAAGACAAAACAGACAAGGGAGUGAUGACGAAGAACACAAAGGCACUGCAAAUGUUUUGAGUGAUUUGGCAUGAGUUUGCUGCAGCCGAGCUGCUGGAUUGAAGUUAAUAAGCGUGCGAGAGGCCCAACGAGAGAAGUCUUCCCUCAUCCAGAUGAGUCCUCCAUGGCCCACACACACCAGAGAUGAGUCUGGAUCCUCCACUGGAGCCGCUGCACCUGUUGUUUUCAGGAGUUGGAGAAAGAUAGACACUCAUGCUCAGAGACCGUAUGGUAGGAUGAGAGCAGGCAAUGUGUUUUGUCGCAAAAGCCAAGAAAAAAAGGUUUUGCAUUUUGGUUGAAAUAUUUAGCCAGGUCAUCAAGCAUACUUAAAAUGGCCUUAAUU